CUGCCUCAGGACGGGGACAACAGUUGGAAACGACUGCUAAUAGCGCGAUAUAGCUGAGAGGUGAAUUGAUAUUUCGCCUGAGGAUGAACUCGCGUCUGAUUAGCUAGUUGGUGAUGUAAGGGAUCACCAAGGCGACGAUCAGUAUCUGGUCUAAGAGGAUGAUCAGCCACACUGGGACUGAGACACGGCGCAUACUCCUACGGGAGGCAGCAGUGGGGAAUUUUCCGCAAUGGGCGAAAGGCUGACGGAGCAACGGCGCGUGAGGGAGGAAGGCCCUCGGGUUGUAAACCUCUUUUCUCUGGGAAGAAGAUCUUAACGGUACCAUAAGAUAUAAGCCUCGGCUAACUCCGUGCCAGCAGCCGCGGUAAGACGGAGGAGGCAAGCGUUAUCCGGAAUNAUUUGGCGUAAAGCGUCCGCAGGCG
rnacentral:rRNA from 1 species